GAUGAACGCUGGCGGCGUGCCUAAUACAUGCAAGUCGAGCGAACAGACGAGGAGCUUGCUCCUCUGACGUUAGCGGCGGACGGGUGAGUAACACGUGGAUAACCUACCUAUAAGACUGGGAUAACUUCGGGAAACCGGAGCUAAUACCGGAUAAUAUAUUGAACCGCAUGGUUCAAUAGUGAAAGACGGUUUUGCUGUCACUUAUAGAUGGAUCCGCGCCGCAUUAGCUAGUUGGUAAGGUAACGGCUUACCAGGGCAACGAUGCGUAGCCGACCUGAGAGGGUGAUCGGCCACACUGGAACUGAGACACGGUCCAGACUCCUACGGGAGGCAGCAGUAGGGAAUCUUCCGCAAUGGGCGAAAGCCUGACGGAGCAACGCCGCGUGAGUGAUGAAGGUCUUCGGAUCGUAAAACUCUGUUAUUAGGGAAGAGCAAAUGUGUAAGUAACUAUGCACGUCUUGACGGUACCUAAUCAGAAAGCCACGGCUAACUACGUG
rnacentral:rRNA from 1 species